rfam:Nitrospirae bacterium GWC2_57_9 gwc2_scaffold_3675, whole genome shotgun sequence.
GGCUUAAGCUGUUUGAACGGUUCUGUAGAUUCCGAAUGAGAAAGCGGAAAGGGGUGCAAUUCCCCUGCUGUCGCGCAACUGUAAUGGAAACGAAAACUGGAAAUGCCACUGGGCGAGCAACAACAGUUUAAGCGGUUUAAACAGUUCAAACGGUUUAAACGGUUAAAUUACCCGGGAAGGCCAGUGAGUAGGGUGUCCUAAGCCAGGAGACGUCUCAUUCGAAUAUUCGCGCG